rnacentral:misc_RNA from 1 species
CAUGCUUGUGCAUCGAACUGUUGAAUGGCGAUCUCAUCAAUUCGGAGCUCAGUUGCAUUAUUUUGCAUUAUGGGCUAAGGUCGAGUUCCUGUGCUGCAUACCCACGAAAGUGGAAAUUUAUCACGUUGCGCUUUGAUUUUCACCUCAUGCUUGUUAAAGGCAUGUGGUGAACGUGUAAGCACCUCUUGUGUUCCAAAAUCGUUGAUUUAACUGUUAUGGUGCAUUAGAAGGUCGCUCGUGCUUUGGGAUGCGGAAAUCCUUUUGUAGCCGAGGGAUCGGAUCCCUCAAUCGCUCGAAAUGUCCCUAUUUGCAAGCGACACGCAGCACUUGUUUUUGGUCCUUGGCAUGCCACGAUGUUGGUGAGCUGUGGAUUGAAGCGGGUGCUGAUGUCGUGAAGGAAUGC